UACGUAGGGUGCAAGCGUUGUCCGGAAUUAUUGGGCGUAAAGAGCUCGUAGGUGGCCAACUAAGUCAGACGUGAAAUCCCUCGGCUUAACCGGGGAACUGCGUCUGAUACUGGAUGGCUUGAGUUUGGGAGAGGGAUGCGGAAUUCCAGGUGUAGCGGUGAAAUGCGUAGAUAUCGGGAGGAACACCAGUGGCGAAGGCGGUUGCCUGGAGCGUUGCUGACGCUGAGGCGCGAAAGCGUGGGGAGCGAUCCGG
rnacentral:rRNA from 1 species